AAUAAUAAUUCAGAAGCUCAUUACAGUACAAGUUUCCAACUAACUUUUUUUCCCAGAAAAGAAAAAGGUAAAGAAAACCAACACACAAACUCAAUUCAUCCCUCUCCCUCUCCCUCUCUUCUUUUGCACGGCCGCCGGUGACAUCGCCGCAUCUACACUCAUCUUUCUUCCGCCUUCUUCGUGAUUUCUCAAAGAUAACAUGUCGUACGGACGAACUUAUCAACCUCAAGGAGGUACAAUGUAUGAACAGCGUUGGCCAUCCUUUCCCAGAAACCAUGACAACAGCAGCGUUUUUAACAGUGAUGAUUAUUUGCACUACAACAGAUAUAACCUUUAUGGUAGUAGGCAUGACUUUAACUACAAUGCCUUAGGAAACUGUAGAGAACGAGCGCUGAGAGAAAAUAACUCAAGACCUAAUGGCUCAUCAUCUUUUAAGAGGAGAAAAAUAUCUGAGAGUGCUUGGGGAAAUGAUGGGGAUUUUUAUUUCCAACCAAAUAUGAAGAGUGUUGCUGCUUUCAUCCCCUCAAAUGACGGUACUAUUUUUCCUACUAUAGCUGCACCUAGUACAAGUGCUCAUUGUUAUACAUCGGGUAAACGUGGACGGUCGGAUCUGGAAGAUGAAGAUUGCACGGUUCUUAUGUCUAGGGAGGAUAUUGAGAGGUGUUCCCCUUCAAGAAAAGAUGGGAUUGAUGCAUUACAUGAAACACGACUGAGGUACUCGUAUUGCGCCUUCCUUCAGAACCUUGGGAUGCGGCUCGAUAUGCCUCAAACGACAAUAGGCACUGCAAUGGUUUUAUGCCACCGCUUUUUCAUCCGACGAUCACAUGCCAGCCAUGAUAGAUUUUUGAUUGCUACUGCUACACUCUUCCUUGCUGCAAAGUCUGAAGAGACGGCUCGCCCUUUGAAUGAUGUGGUGAAGGCAUCUUGUGAAAUUCUGCACAAGCAGGAUCUUACCAUUUUGUCGUACAUGCUCCCUACUGAUUGGUUUGAGAAAUACCGGGAGCGGAUUAUUGGGGCUGAGCAGUUGGUUCUAACUACCUUGAACUUUGAGCUCAGUGUACAACAUCCUUUUGAGACUUUGACAUCCAUCCUUAACAAGUUAGGUGUUUCACAGACACAUUUGAUGGACCUGGCAUUAAACUUGGCCAGUGAAGGGGUUGAUAUGCCUAGCUGGCGGAUUGUGAUUUGCUAUGAUGAAGUUAUGUUUUACAUCUGAAGUUGAACUGCAGUUGUGUUGUGGUUGCUUAACCUUGAAAAUACCUGUCAAACUGGUGUUGGCUGUAGCAGAUAUAAAUAGACUCAUUCCAACAUCAGUUUUAGUAGUUUUUCCAGAUUUCUUGGUGACAUCAAAGCUAGAAAUGAAGGAGCAAAAAAGAAUAUUUACAAUAUGAUUAAAUAUUCUUUGCUGCUAUAUUCUGAUGAAUAUAUAGUUUGUCAGCAACUGAACUUGAUUUUUUAUUUUAUGGCCUUGUGGUGGUCAAAAUGUGAUGGAGAGGAAGGGGAGAAUGCUGGAGUGUAAGGAGACGAAGGAUUAUAUGCCUAUAUGGACAUAAAAGCAAAACUUGCUGUGGACAUAACACUUGUCUUUGUGUUAGGGUGGCACUCCUGUUUUGUGUUAAUUUUGAAGGGAUAUAGUCAACCAAAAUUUAGGGUCUUCUGGUAUUGUAGCCUGUCCUACUUAACCCCGGUUUUGGAACUCUCAUGUUCCGACGUUCUCACACCUUAUGUUGUCCUAAAAUUUUGGAUGUGCUGACAGUGAAAUUUUUCCUCUAUGGAUACUUAAUAAGGAGUGAAUUCCUGCACGCACUGUCUUCAGUGUCUAUUCAUGGAGUGGAACUUGUUCUCUGGAGUAACUUGACGCUGCAAGUCUGGUAUGUCAAAACCAAAACCAAACAGUUCAAAUCUCGUGCUCUGCAGCAUAAAAUCUUGACCUCUUGAAACAACUAGAGUUACGAAAAUUCAGGUUAGUUAUCCCACUAUAGUAAGCAUCAUAAUAACCAGGCAUGGCUGGCCGCUGGCUUACUGCUGUAUAGGUUUACUUGAGACCCGGAAAAAAUUGUAGGGGAGAAACAGAGAAAUUCUUGGGGGAAAAAGAUGACCUGUAGCAAUUGAAUUGAUAUACUAGCCUACAACGUAAGUUUAAAACCCACGUUCUCUUUUAAGUGUUAAGGAUACCUCUAUUUUUGAAAGCCAUUCUUCUUGAACAGACCUAUUUUCCCAUUAUCUGGAAUUUGAAUCAUUUUAUGCAUGAAGCUAAACACAAAAUUGAAUAAGCAAUUGAUUUUUUCUUAGUUUAUACAAAUAACUCAAUGUUAGCUUUUACCUGGCAAUAUUAAAAAAGACCUAGUCAUUUAUCUUUACCACACCCCCCCCCCCCCCCCCCCCCCCACCUUCUUUGCGAAAUAAGGUUUCUGCAAAUUUUUCUUCUUGUCUUCUUCACAAUAAAAUAUGAUAGUUUACAAACUGCUGAAGUAGGGUUUGAACUAAGAAUAGUAGAUUUCUGGUCCUGUUUAAGCUUAUUUAUUGCAUAUUGUGAUUGGUGAACGGCAAUGCAUUAUCUUUGUGCUUAUUUCCUUUUCCUUGGAGCCGCAUAUUUACAUACGUGUAUGUCCAGGGAGAUUUGCACUGCUUCUUUAUCUGUUUUUUCCGUUUUUGUUAUUUGUGUUUGGUUUGAGGGGGAUUGAGUGAUGGUUAUGACUUUAGCCAUUAUUUGUGAUGGUGCAGAUGUGUCUUUUAAUUCUUGCUAAGUAUCAACGUAAAGUUAAAACUGACCAAUCCAAUUUUUGUCACAUGUAUACAACCAAUUAUUUUGACACUAGCCUUUCUGCUCCGAAAAAUAAAAUAUAUAACUUUAUGGUAUUUGGGCACGGGUUUUAUAAUCGUUAUUGAAGGUAAUUUAAUUAAUUAGAAGGGGCACGGGUUUUAUAAUCAUUAUUGAAGGUAAUUUACUUAAUUGGAAGUGUGAAUGACUGAAUGCUAACUAGCUUACUUGGUCAAAGUCUUGAGGGGACGGUACUCAAGACCGGGAUCGAUUUCCGUAUACAUCAUUUUCCCUUUGAGGAGUGAAGAAUAAAAGGAGGAGAAAGUGUUAAGAUAGAGGUAUAAAAAAAAGGAUGAUGUGAUGAAGAAAGAAAAGAGGAAAAUAAUAUCUAAACCAAUGACUUGUAUUUCGGGGAGUAACCGAGUUUUUACCCUUUCUUAUUCCGGUGUCAUAAUUUUUAAUAUUCUUGAGUUUGCAUUCAUAGGAUUUCAAUUUCCCUGCCUGCUUGAACUAAAUUUGCCUCUUAGUUCUAACUGUCAAACUAAGAUAUAUACUGGCUGCUAUUAAUACAAGUAGUAAUGGUGAAUUCUACCAUAGCCAUGUCUAUAGAGAGCAUUUAGUUUAUCUGUUGCUUUGAUCACCUGCAUAUGCCUUAAAGGAUAUCUUUAGUUUUAAUCAAUAUGACUGAAACUCAUGAUCCUGUUAUAUUGUUAUUAUGUUCACUAUAUCCCAUCUGGUUCUUUCUGCAAUGUUGUAAGUUAAAGUCGCUAACAAACUUCAAAUUGUAGAAUUAUAUUGUUAUUCUUUUGUCCCUCAACAGAAGGAUUGUUUAUUUUAUUGUCAUGUUUUGUGGCAUUUUACCUGUUGAGUUGGGCAUUCUGUAAGAAGGUUGGAGAUUCUUAUUUGCAUUCUACGAAUAUGAAAUUUGUAAUAAAGUUAUGUAUGACUUGUCAGUUGAACUUGGGCUAUCAUAAGUUUCCAGAAUCUGUACUCCAUCUCAAACCUUAAUUGCCAUCUACUUUAGUGUGUCCUAGUUGCAAUUUUCUACGCCAUUACCGGACUUAGGUUCAUGUUGUUACCGGCAUGACUAGCUGCUUGUUUGUCUUACUAAUAUUGAUCAAGUUUUCACUGAGACCGGGAUAUCAUGCUUCAUGUAUGAGAACUGCGAAGAUAGGUUCUAGGCUUCUGGAAAAAGAAAAAGAAUAUUGCUUGCUGCAAGUUUGUGUUAAAUAGCAUAUAUUAUUCUUCAUGGGUUAUUUCCAUUGUGUUGACAGGAAAGGUCUUUUAUACGAUUCCUUAAAUAUUUCUCUUGAGUCUGUGUUCAUUGCCAUGUUAUAACAAUUCCUUAAAUAUUUCUUUUGUAUUGCAUGUGAAUAUGUGAUAUCAUAGUCUGCUUUCAUAAUAAUAUUCUGUUACCCCUCACUUAUAUAGUUAUAUGCUGGCCUAAAUACAGGAGAAAUAACUUUUAUUCUCUUCUGUAGAUAAAUGCCUUUAAUAAUAAUAUCAAACUAAGUGAUGCACCACCUUCUAUCAACUGCAGGAGUUCUAAAGAACUUGUGUAUUAAGACAUGGUAUUAUGUACUAUUGCCAUCAUAGAUGUCUUUGGCAGUUUGUUCAUAUGUUAUGACUUAUGAGCCUUGGAUCUUAAGUUGUGCCAAUGAAAUGCCAAGCCUGCGACUUAGCUUGAGAUAAAGGCUCUUAAUUGAAUCGGGGAUAGGUUACUGGGAAGAACUACAACAUCUUAUAUUGCCUUGCAAAAAGUUGGUAAUUGCGUAGUGCUUAAAAAUUAGCAAGAAAAGGAAUAUAGUUAUGUUCUAUUGUUCUUUUUUUAAUUUAUUAUUGUUAAAUGUUACUACUUCGUAUAUCUUUCUUGAAUGCUAUAUAUGCGCAAUUCUAAACAACUUUAACCAGGUUUUAAGCAGCGAAAUUUACAAAAGUACAUAUGUAUUAGACAUAAGGAGCGUUUAAGGUGAUCAGUUGCACGAAAAUAUAUAUAUAUAUAUAUAUAUAUAUAUAUAUAUAUAUAUAUAUAUAUAUAGCAUUCAAGAUCUGUUGAAGGCUGAAUGUUCUAGGUGCUAGGGGUAAUUUGGCGCGAUGGUCAAGUGUCUACUUGCUAUCCGCUAGGUCACGGGUUUGAUCCUUGGAAACAACCUCUUUAUGAAAAUAAGGGUAGGGCUGUGUACGUUUGGACUUUCCCAAGACCUGGCCGCUAAAUAGCGUGAGCCUUGUGCAUUGGGUAUGACCUCUUGAAUCUCCUCAUUUUGGUACCAGCAUACUAUUUUGGGGAAUAAUAUGACUGAAAUUUGAACACUUGACGAAAUCCUUCAAGCAAUGUUCCUAAUUCUGUGACGCUCUCACAUUUUGUUAUGAUAAUGGUCACUUGGAUUGCUUCAAAUUUGGCCGAAAGGGAAACUUAGAUAUUCCUAGUGAAGAAUUUCCAUGUAGUCUGGGAUCCAUACCCAAAUUUUGAUACUUGAUUUGAGUCCAAGCAUCAUACUGAAUGUGCGUAGAAAGAGCAAAAAAUGGUUGUCUGGAAUCUCACCUUGUAAAUUAGUAUGCAGUCUUCGCACAAUUUCUUGCCAAAUUUCUCCAGACAUGAUGGUGUUGUACCAUCAGCUGCCAGAAUAUAGCUGUUAGAUUCAAAAUAUCACCACGGCUAAGGGACUGUGUAGCUUAUACCUAAGGUGUGAAUGGUUGCUUCAAUUCUGUUUUAAGAACUGAAAAGCAACUAGCUAUAUGAAUCAUUGGGAAGAGGUGGCUGAACUUUCUAAAAGGUUGGCCGCGUGUGGAUACCUUUUAUUUCCUCUGUGUUUCUCCAUCUGAAUGUUUUGAGAUGCUGGACUUCAAAUACGCACGUGGGAACAAAGCUACAAUUAGAACUUCCUUGGAAGUUGGUAUGAACACUUUAUGGUUGUGAAGUGCUUCUGUAGUAUUCGUAAUCUUUUCAGCAGUUCACCAGAAGCGUCCAGCUAGGUUGCUGGUUAAAUUUUGGUUUCGGAGCUCACUGUGGCUUCAGUUUAAACCCCAUCAAAUUGCUGCAGGUGUAGCAUAUCUCGCUGCCAAGAUGCUGAAUAUGAACUUUGACUCCGUCAACAUUUGGCGGGAAUUUCAGACACCACCAGCUGUUCU